GUGGUGGAAUAGCUCAGUGGGUAAGCAUGAGGCUCUAAAUCUCAAGGUCGUGGCUUUGAGUUCCAUAAGAUCCCUCCACA